UGGGGAAUAUUGCACAAUGGGCGCAAGCCUGAUGCAGCAACGCCGCGUGAAGGAAGAAGGGUUUCGGCUCGUAAACUUCUAUCGACAGGAACGAAACAAAUGACGGUACCUGAGUAAGAAGCCCCGGCUAACUACGUGCCAGCAGCCGCGGUAAUACGUAGGGGGCAAGCGUUAUCCGGAAUUACUGGGUGUAAAGGGAGAGUAGGCGGCGAAGUAAGUAAGAUGUGAAAGCCCUCGGCUUAACUGAGGGAUUGCAUUUUAAACUAUUUUGCUAGAGUGCAGGAGAGGAAAGCGGAAUUCCUAGUGUAGCGGUGAAAUGCGUAGAUAUUAGGAAGAACACCAGUGGCGAAGGCGGCUUUCUGGACUGUAACUGACGCUGAGGCUCGAAAGCGUGGGGAGCAAACAGGAUUAGAUACCCUGGUAGU
rnacentral:rRNA from 1 species